AGCGAACGUUAGCGGCGGGCCUAACACAUGCAAGUCGAGCGAGAAAGUGGCUUCGGCCAUCAGUAAAGCGGCGGACGGGUGAGUAACACGUAGGUAAUCUUCCCUUGAGCGGGGGACAACGAGCCGAAAGGCUCGCUAAUACCGCAUAAGUUCAUAGGGACUCCGGUCUUUAUGAGGAAAGCUAGGUAGCAAUAUCCGGCACUCGAGGAGGAGCCUGCGUCGCAUCAGCAGUUGGUGGGGUAACGCCUACCAAGGCGAAGACGCGUAGCUGGUCUGAGAGGAUGAUCAGCCACACUGAAACUGAGACACGGUUCAGACCUCCUACGGGAGGCAGCAGUGGGGAAUA
rnacentral:rRNA from 1 species